UAGGGAAUCUUCCACAAUGGACGCAAGUCUGAUGGAGCAACGCCGCGUGAGUGAAGAAGGUUUUCGGACCGUAAAGCUCUGUUGUUGGUGAAGAAGGAUAGAGGUAGUAACUGGCCUUUUAUUUGACGGUAAUCAACCAGAAAGUCACGGCUAACUACGAGCCAGCAGCCGCGGUAAUACGUAGGUGGCAAGCGUUGUCCGGAUUUAUUGGGCGUAAAGCGAGCGCAGGCGGAAGAAUAAGUCUGAUGUGAAAGCCCUCGGCUUAACCGAGGAAUUGCAUCGGAAACUGUUUUUCUUGAGUGCAGAAGAGGAGAGUAGAACUCCAUGUGUAGCGGUGGAAUGCGUAGAUAUAUGGAAGAAUACCAGUGGCGAAGGCGGCUCUCUGGUCUGCAACUGACGCUGAGGCUCGAAAGCAUGGGUAGCGAACAGGAUUAGAUACCCUGGUAGUCCAUGCCGUAAACGAUGAGUGCUAA
rnacentral:rRNA from 1 species